rnacentral:rRNA from 1 species
GAUGAACGCUGGCGGCGUGCCUAAUACAUGCAAGUCGAACGCUUUGUCUUUAAUUGAUAUGAAGAGCUUGCUCUGAUUUGAUUUUAUCUGACAAAGAGUGGCGAACGGGUGAGUAACACGUGGGUAACCUACCUCUUAGCAGGGGAUAACAUUUGGAAACAAGUGCUAAUACCGUAUAACACUAACAACCGCAUGGUGGUUAGUUGAAAGAUGUUUCUGCUAUCACUAAGAGAUGGACCCGCGGUGCAUUAGCUAGUUGGUAAGGUAAUGGCUUACCAAGGCGAUGAUGCGUAGCCGAGUUGAGAGACUGAUCGGCCACAAUGGGACUGAGACACGGCCCAUACUCCUACGGGAGGCAGCAGUAGGGAAUCUUCCACAAUGGGCGCAAGCCUGAUGGAGCAACGCCGCGUGUGUGAUGAAGGGUUUCGGCUCGUAAAACACUGUUAUAAGAGAAGAACGACAUUGAGAGUAACUGUUCAGUGUGUGACGGUAUCUUAUCAGAAAGGAACGGCUAAAUACGUG